rnacentral:rRNA from 1 species
GACGAACGCUGGCGGCGUGCUUAACACAUGCAAGUCGAACGGAAAUGCCCUGCUUUUGUGGGGUGCUCGAGUGGCGAACGGGUGAGUAACACGUGAGUAACCUGCCCUUGACUUUGGGAUAACUUCAGGAAACUGGGGCUAAUACCGGAUAGGAGCUCCUGCUGCAUGGUGGGGGUUGGAAAGUUUCGGCGGUUGGGGAUGGACUCGCGGCUUAUCAGCUUGUUGGUGGGGUAGUGGCUUACCAAGGCUUUGACGGGUAGCCGGCCUGAGAGGGUGACCGGCCACAUUGGGACUGAGAUACGGCCCAGACUCGUACGGGAGGCAGCAGUGGGGAAUAUUGCACAAUGGGCGGAAGCCUGAUGCAGCAACGCCGCGUGCGGGAUGACGGCCUUCGGGUUGUAAACCGCUUUCGCCUGUAACGAAGCGUGAGUGACGGUAAUGGGUAAAGAAGCACCGGCUAACUACGUG